GGCCUCGUGGUCCAAUGAUAUACGACACCACUAUUCUCCGAAAAUAGAACGUCCGAGGGGUGGAGAGUGCGGGUUCGAUUCCCGCCGAGGCAG